UUCAAAGGAGAGACUUACGCAAUGCGAAUCAGCUCAGAGAUAGCUUGACUGUGAGUCUUGCACGAUUCUGAAGCUGAUCAUUGAGGCCUGAAAUUGCAGUACAAGGUUUUGGAUCUGGGAUUAUUGAUUUUGCAAUGGCUGAGGAAACUUCUGAUACCAUGAAUCUUGAUUUGAAUUUGGGCCCUGGUCCUGAGGCAGGGUCAGGAUCUGUACCAAGCGAAGCAGUGAAUUUGGAAGAGUGGAUUGAUGAC
rnacentral:misc_RNA from 1 species